GACGAACGCUGGCGGCGUGCCUAAUACAUGCAAGUCGAACGCUUCUUUCCUCCCGAGUGCUUGCACUCAAUUGGAAAGAGGAGUGGCGGACGGGCGAGUAACACGUGGGUAACCUACCCAUCAGAGGGGGAUGACACUUGGAAACAGGUGCUAAUACCGCAUAACAGUUUAUGCCGCAUGGCAUAAGAGUGAAAGGCGCUUUCGGGUGUCGCUGAUGGAUGGACCCGCGGUGCAUUAGCUAGUUGGUGAGGUAACGGCUCACCAAGGCCACGAUGCAUAGCCGACCUGAGGGGGUGAUCGGCCACACUGGGACUGAGACACGGCCCAGACUCCUACGGGAGGCAGCAGUAGGGAAUCUUCGGCAAUGGACGAAAGUCUGACCGAGCAACGCCGCGUGAGUGAAGAAGGUUUUCGGAUCGUAAAACUCUGUUGUUAGAGAAGAACAAGGACGUUAGUAACUGAACGUCCCCUGACGGUAUCUAACCAGAAAGCCACGGCUAACUACGUG
rnacentral:rRNA from 1 species